UUCACAAAACGCCUCGUCGUUUAUUCGGCUCGGCAUAACUUUCACAAAACGCCUCGUCGUUUAUUCGGCUCAGCAUAACUUACAGAAAAUGCCUCGUCGUUUAUUCGGCUCGGCAUAACUUUCACAAAACGCCUCGUCGUUUAUUCGGCUCGGCAUAACUUUCACAAGUCGCCUCGCGUACAAUCCUUUUCCUAAGGAUAUCUCACCAAACAGCACAGAUUGCACCACGCCUCGUCGUUAAAAAAAUGGCUCGACAUUAUCUUUAUCUUGAAACGCCUCGUCGCUAAACAUAGCUCGGCACUACGUAAACACCACGUCGUUGAAACAGCUCGGCGCUAUCUUUGUCAAAGUAGCCUCAUCUUGUGAACGGCUCGGCAUUUUCCUUCAAACAGCCUCGUCAAAAAAUAGCUCGCUAUUAUGCUUCGUCGAAGAAUGGCUCGGCAUUUUUAUUCCCAAAACGUCUCACCUAGAAUUGUUUCGCAACGGCCUAAUUCGAUGGUUUAUCCCAUGUCCAGGAGGAAUGAACCUCGUCACUCUCGUCUCCGAAACUGACGAGCUGGGGGGCUAACUGUUGGGGUCGGUUUC
rnacentral:lncRNA from 1 species